AUUGAACGCUGGCGGCAGGCCUAACACAUGCAAGUCGAACGAGUGGCGGACGGGUGAGUAAUGUCUGGGAAACUGCCUGAUGGAGGGGGAUAACUACUGGACACGGUAGCUAAUACCUCAUACUAUCGGAUGUGCCCAGAUGGGAUUAGCUAGUAGGUGGGGUAACGGCUCACCUAGGCGACGCUCCCUAGCUGGUCUGAGAGGGUGACCAGCAAAACUGGAACUGAGAAACGGUCCAGACUCCUACGGGAGGCAGGAGUGGGGAAGAUUGCACAAUGGGCGCAAGCCUGAUGCAGCCAGGCCGCGGGUAUGAAGAAGGCCUUGGGGUUGUAAAGUACUUUCAGCGGGGAGGCGUUACCCGCAGAAGAAGCACCGGCUAACUCCGUGCCAGCAGCCGCGGUAAUAC
rnacentral:rRNA from 1 species